CAAUCCUGGAAUUUGCCAUAGAAAAUAGUCAUUUUCCUGGCACUCUACAACUGUGCAACUUUCUGACAUUUGAAGAACAUUUCACCAUAGCAGGACAGCAGAGCUUUGACUGGACCCCUCUAUCCCAGCACCAGUGUUCUAUACACACAGACACAUCAAUGAAGUAUAUGAUAUAGAAAUACAAGAGAAAUAUAGUGAUACAUGUUGUAGAUAUGAUAGAUAUACUGUAGAAAUGGUGUAUAGAUAUAGUGAAACCUAGAUACUGAAGCCAUGUUCGCUCUAUAUGCCACAGCUCUCCUCUGCUUCCUGUCUUCGAGCCAAUCAGCUCCUGCUGCUGCUCUAGGCUGUGAGGACCUCCUUAAGCCCAUGGAUCCACCACGACUAGACCAGCAGUUCUUGGGAAGAUGGGCCCUCGUCGCAGACAGUGUGAGCCACCUCUGGUAUUACUCAACCAUGUUGGCUCUCAAGAGAUAAGACAGUCACCAUGGAGUUUACAUCUGCUACCAACACCAGAACCGGAACCGGCAUGGCGGCUGGUGUAAGUAAUGUAUAUACCCGACAGCAUCUCCAUUGUCAACGGCAACAGCACCUUUCAGUUAGACAUGAGGGGCUUUUGGAACAUCACUGGGGUCUCCCUGGAGACCUCCUGCCCAGACUUCCUGGUGAUGAGGUGAGCUCCGUAAUAAGGGAGUCCACAGACCUGUACUUGCUGAGGAAGGUGGAGGGCAGGACGGGACAGAGGUGGAGGGCGGGACGGGACUGAGGUGGAGGAAGAGGAGAUGGAGGAGUUCAGGAAACGUGGCGUGCCUGGGGCUUCCCGCCGCCAGUGCUGAUGUAGCUUGGGGAAUCCCUCUGUGAUUCCUCUCGUCCCUGAUUCCCUGCCCUCUUAAGACGGGUAGAAGAAGAUCCAUUAAUGUGAUGGAAGUAUAGAUUCUGGGAGAGUGGGGGCAGUGAAAGAGAGAUGUGGAGACACUUUUUCUGUUUUGUAAUAAAUCAGUUCUGUAUGUACUGUUUGUCAAUGUACUGUAUGCUUGUACUGUACUGGAUGAUUUAUCCUAUUCUGUCGUCUUGGCUUCUUUAACAGCUUUAAUGACAUUCAUUGAGUUAAAGUCCCAGAGCUUCAGUUCAUUCACAGAGACAGUGGAAUCCAGUAGGGAUGUUUACAGCAAAUUCUUCAGCGUUGAAUCAACUCUGAGUGUUCAAUUUAACACUUUUCCAGGCUAUAGGGUCCACACUAUUCAGAGCUAAAUUAAGACUUUGUUAGCAGCUGAUGCUAUUACACUUUCUCAGUGUUAAGGCCUGCAGUUUUACAGGAACUCGUUUUGGGUGUUGACUAUUUGAAUCAGAUGUGCCAGUUCAGGGUUAAAACAAAAAUGUGAAACGUCUGGGGUGCGAGGAGAGGGUUGGGAAACCAUGUAGUAGAGAACGCUGUCUGGCUUCGCUUUUAGCUUACGCAUCAGAUUCAUCUACUGUGGUGUUAUAAACCGAAAUAAUACCCCCCAAAAUAUUUUCGAUCGAAUGUUGUCACAUUUUAAGAAUAUUUAGGAUUUUAAAGAUAUUUGUAUAUUGUGUAUUUUGAAGUGCAGUACCAGUCGAAUGUUUGGACACACCUACUCAUUCAAGGGUUUUUCUUCAUUUGUACUGUUUUCUACAUUGUAGAAUAAAAGUGAACACAUCAAAACUAUGAAAUAACACAUAUGGAAUCCUUGUAGUAAC